rnacentral:rRNA from 1 species
ACACGCAUGACACACUGCAUAUCAAUAAGCGGAGGAAAAGAAACUAACAAGGAUUCCCUUAGUAACGGCGAGUGAAGCGGGAAGAGCUCAAAUUUGAAAUCUUCAAGGUUCUACCUUGACGAAUUGUAGUUUAAAGAAGUGUUUUCUGUUAGUGGAGUGGCAAAAGUUCUUUGGAAUAGGACAUCAUAGAGGGUGAGAAUCCCGUAUUUGGUCAUUCCUUCUAGCUUUGUGAUACACUUUCAAAGAGUCGGAUUGUUUGGGAAUGCAGUCCAAAAUGGGUGGUAAUUUCAUCUAAAGCUAAAUAUUGGCGAGAGACCGAUAGCGAACAAGUACCGUGAGGGAAAGAUGAAAAGAACUUUGAAAAGAGAGUUAAACAGUACGUGAAAUUGUCAAAAGGGAAGCGUUUGACACCAGUGUUGUUUUUCCCGAAAAUCAAUUGAUGAAUGGCUUGAUUUUAAGUUUCAUGACCUUAAAAGCUUGUUUCUUAUUUUUCAUGUCUUUCGUAAUGCACUUUUCGGUUAACAAGUCAACAUCAAUUUCUUUUGUUGUAAAAGGUUAAGAGGAAGGUGGCUUUACUUUCGGGUAAAGUGUUUAUAGCCUUUUAACUCUGCAAUCGGAGAGAUUGAGGUCUGCAGCGUAGAUCCUUCGGGGUUAGAUACAUUUGUGCUAAGUUAUAGCUUUUCAUAGACAACUUGUUGACUAUGUUAAGUCUUGUAAUUUACUCGCAGAUGCUAUUUUACCUACGCUUAGGAUGUUGAAGAUGUAGCACAUCAU